GACGAACGCUGGCGGCGUGCCUAAUACAUGCAAGUAGAACGCUGAAGAGAGGAGCUUGCUCUUCUUGGAUGAGUUGCGAACGGGUGAGUAACGCGUAGGUAACCUGCCUUGUAGCGGGGGAUAACUAUUGGAAACGAUAGCUAAUACCGCAUAACAAUGGAUGACACAUGUCAUUUAUUUGAAAGGGGCAAUUGCUCCACUACAAGAUGGACCUGCGUUGUAUUAGCUAGUAGGUGAGGUAACGGCUCACCUAGGCGACGAUACAUAGCCGACCUGAGAGGGUGAUCGGCCACACUGGGACUGAGACACGGCCCAGACUCCUACGGGAGGCAGCAGUAGGGAAUCUUCGGCAAUGGGGGCAACCCUGACCGAGCAACGCCGCGUGAGUGAAGAAGGUUUUCGGAUCGUAAAGCUCUGUUGUAAGUCAAGAACGAGUGUGAGAGUGGAGAGUUCACACUGUGACGGUAGCUUACCAGAAAGGGACGGCUAACUACGUGCCAGCAGCCGCGGUAAUACGUAGGUCCCGAGCGUUGUCCGGAUUUAUUGGGCGUAAAGCGAGCGCAGGCGGUUUGAUAAGUCUGAAGUUAAAGGCUGUGGCUCAACCAUAGUUCGCUUUGGAAACUGUCAAACUUGAGUGCAGAAGGGGAGAGUGGAAUUCCAUGUGUAGCGGUGAAAUGCGUAGAUAUAUGGAGGAACACCGGUGGCGAAAGCGGCUCUCUGGUCUGUAACUGACGCUGAGGCUCGAAAGCGUGGGGAGCGAACAGG
rnacentral:rRNA from 1 species